rnacentral:rRNA from 1 species
UACGUAGGGUGCGAGCGUUAAUCGGAAUUACUGGGCGUAAAGCGUGCGCAGGCGGUUCGCCAAGUCAGGUGUGAAAUCCCCGGGCUUAACCUGGGAAUUGCGCUUGAAACUAGCGGGCUUGAGUGUGGCAGAGGGGGGUGGAAUUCCACGUGUAGCAGUGAAAUGCGUAGAGAUCGGGAGGAACACCCGUGGCGAAGGCGGCUCACUGGGCCGGUCCUGACGCUGAGACGCGAAGGCGUGGGGAGCGAACGGG